GCCUUGUUAAGGCCCCUAAUAUUCCAUGUGCUAAAAAUCAUGUUGUGGUGAAGCUGGAUGGGCCAGCGUCCCCUGGGUCAUCACCUAUCUGUAACAAAGAGAAAUUGUUGGUCAUGUUCAUUGAGGCUCCAACAUAGUGUUGUACAUUUAUCCCUUUUGCCAACCCCUUAUCUAUCACCCUGCUUCCAGCAAUGUCAGUAUGCUUGCUUUCCUCCACUAUCCUAGUAGUUUUAACCACCUCACCAUUAUGCUUGGUUUUUGGUAUCCAUUUCCAGUUCUCACUUUGCACUUGCUUCUUUUCCCCUGCUGCCUUGAAAUGGUUCUGUGUUGCCUCUUCACCUCCCUGCUUCUUUUUAUACCAGCAAUCAUCAGUGUUAUGGCCAAAUCUUAAACAGUCACAGCAGUAGUUUGGCCUCCAUUCGUACUCAAUCUGUUGUGUGAUAACUCCCCUCUUGGUAUGUAACUCAAAACUAUCUGGCAAGGGUUGAGAUAUGUCUGUUUCCACCAGUACUCUUGCAUAAGAUAUCUUCUCCAAUUCACCAGUGAUUCUAUCAGUGUACAUAGGCUUCCCAACCACACUAGCUAGUUUACUGAAGGCUUCGGUGGACCAAAAUCCCAAUAGAAAGCCAGGGAAGGUAAUCCACAAAGGAAUUACACUCACACUACCUGGUUCAUACUUGAAAUCCAUUCUCCACUGUUGUAACACAAAUUGCUUGUUAUGGAAAGUGUAUGGACCUGCCUGAAGAACAAGAUCCAUGUCUUCACUAUUAUCAAAUCUGAAUAUAUAGUAACCUUCCUCAUUAUGCAAUCAAGAACAAGAUCCAUGUCUUCCUCACUAUACAAUCAAGAAAGGGCCCAAGUUGUCCAUUGCUCGCUCGUACGAAUCUUCUCCAAGCACAAAACCAAUCAACACAUAUUCAAAUGGCUUGUUAUGGAAAGUGUAUGGACCUGCCUAAAGAUCAAGGUCCCUGACUUCAUUAUUAUCAAAUCUGAAUUUAUAAUAACCUUCCUCAUGAUGCAGCACUUGAGGUUUUGUAACAAAAUCCCAAACAUUUGUGAUGAAGUUGUCCAUUGCUCGCUCGUACAGGUCUUCUCCAAGCACAAAACCAAUCAAUGCGCUGCUCCAGUAUGCCUCUUGUUCCUUUGUAUCCUCGUCUUCAAUUUGUACCACAAAUGUACCAUCACGCAUAGCAGGUGGUACAUAGUUAAGCGGUUUCCCUUUUUGAGGGCUUCGAUUCUGUUGCAUGGUGUCCCUUUUAUCUUUUACUGCCUUAGGAUCUUCAGAAGUCUGACAGAUCUGAACUUACUUUGCUUGUGCAGAAAAUUGGAGUCGUCGAUGAACUUGUUGUGUAUCGGCAUUGUUCGUCCCCAGAAUUUCACCCUCGCCUUCGUCGAUUCCCUCACUAAUAGGUUGGCAUUUCAAUGUUAAAAACUUCCAAACGUAACUGGUUGUAAUCGAUGUUGUACUCCAUUUUCCUGCGUUAUCUGCAUUCCAGAAUUUUUAUUCCUGCUAGGGUUGUGAAAAAUUGUAGGCGCCGAACCCAUCCCUAUUAACCACCGAGCAGGCUUGUCAACAGACGGCAUCUCUAUACUAUCCUCCUCUGGUAUCACAUUUGUCGCUGGUGGUUUUCGUCAUCGUCUCGCCAUGGCUGAA
rnacentral:lncRNA from 1 species